UGCCUCAGCCUCCCGAGUAGCUGGGACUACAGGUGCCCGCCACCAUGCCCAGCUAAUUUUUUUGUAUUUUUUAGUAGAGACAGGGUUCCACCGUGUUAGCCAGGAUGGCCUCGGUCUCCUGAUCUCGUGUUCCGUCCACCUCGGCCUCCCAAAGUGCUGGGAUUACAGGCUUGAGCCACCACGCCCCGCCUUAUUUGUACUUUUCUACCAAAAAUAUCACAGUUGUUUUCCUUACCUGAGAUGCCCUGAAAGCCUUCUCAGUUCUCUUAAGUCUGAGAUAACAUCUUCCUAAUUAUACGGUAUACUCAGCAAUUAAUCAUUGAAAGUUUUGUGUUAUCUGUUAGAUCAUUUGAUUCUUCAGGAAUUUUCUUAAAAUAUUAAUUUCAUGCUACUUGUGGACAGGGUCUGUGAUGGAAUCUUGUUUCCAUUUCACUUUGGCACCUAAACAAUGUAUUUGUUUUACUGUUAUCUCUAUCUUCUCAGCUAAGUGCCUUGAGCUAUUGAGUUUCCUACCUGCACACAAUAGAUUCCCCAACUAGUGUGUUUUAAGGCCGGCCUUUAUCUUUCUUGCCAUUUGUUCUUUAAAACUAAGAAACAGUCUCUAGCAAACGGGGCAUAAAGCAGUCUAAUACUGUCAAAUUUGAGGCUUCAAGUAAAGGAUUAUUCAAAUUGUCUAAUUGCCAAAGUCUAAAUUGGGUGAGGAAUUUAAUUAGGGACUCCAAUAUCAGAUUUUAACAGUGUUUACUUAGCUAGAACAAGAGUGGCAGUUAGACUUUGUAGAGGACUCUUAACUGCAAAAGCUGAAAAAAAUUUGUAAUUAUAUAUCAUUUUCUAGUUAUGUACUUUGGUAAUGAAAUGUUAGGAUUUCUAGUAUGCGGCAGUUAAACUCCAUAGAAUAUCUAAACUGUAUAUUAAAUUUUGUGCAAUAAAAUUGAUUUUGACAAUAAAGAAUUUGCAAUUAAGUUUUAUUAGGUAGUUUACUGUUUUCCCAUGUAGAGAAUCUUGAGUUGUUAUGAGAGUAAAAGGCUGCUAUACAGUUGAGUUUGGGAAAACUACAUUACUUAGUAGUCUGAAAGGGAAUACAGUUUAAUAAGUAGUCUAACAUAGAUUCUUAUCUCUAAAGUCUGGUCUAAUACAAGAAAAAGCCUUUCCUUACAACUGAAAACUUAAAGUUUGAAAAAAUGGCUCAUGUGUACUUCAUUGUCCUUUCUUUAUUGCAGUCAGAGUUUUCGAAGCCUUUUUUUCAUUACCCUAGGCAGAACUUGUGUACUUUCUUGCUUUCAGUAUUCCUUGAGCAUAUUUCCAUUAUAAAGUUUUUCAUGUUGUAUUAUAUAAUUUUAGUUUAUGUAUCUAUUUCUCAUCCAGAUACUCAUCUCACUAAGGUCAGGCAUUGUCUUUUCAAAUUUGUAUCUAACACUUUACUAUGGUAGCACAUAAUAGAUACUCAAUAAGUAUGUUGAAAGGUUGAGUAAAUUAAUGAUAUACUUCUAGUAUACUUCUAGCACCUUUACUGUUUGCCUGGCACAUGAACACUUAAAUGUCAACUUUUAUUAUUAUACAUAGGGGAUACUUUAUAUACUUUUUAAGUAACAAAAAUGUAAAUUAAUUAUAACUAAAUUUUAUAUUUUUCCUUAAGUGAGACUUAGUUCAUUUUUUUUUUUUCUAUUAUUUGUAGAGACAGGGUCUCCGUAUGUUGCCCAGGCUGGUCUUGAACUCCUGGGCUUAAGUGAUCCUCCUGCCUCGGUUUCCAAAAGUGCUGAGAUUACAGGCAUGAGCCACCAUGCCCGACUGAGACAUAGUUCUUAAAAUUGUUAUUCCAGGCUGGGCGCAGUGGCUCACGCCUGUAAUCCCAGCACUUUGGGAGGCCGAGAUGGGCGGAUCACGAGGUCAAGAGAUACAGACCAUCCUGGCCAACAUAAUGAAACCCUAUCUCUACUAAAAAUACAAAAAUUAGCUGGGCAUGGUGGCGUGCACCUCUAGUCCUAGCUACUUGGGAGGCUGAGGCAGGAGGAGAAUCAGUUGAACCAGGAGGCGGGGGUUGCAGUCAGCUGAGAUGGCGCCACUGCACUCCAGCCUGGCGACAGAGCAAGACUCCAUCUCAAAAAAAAUAAAAUUAUUAUUCCAUAUGCUGUGUAUUUUUGCCUUGUUAUUUAUUUUUAUUUCAGUAGUGUUUGACAGUAUUAGAAUUUUAGAAAUGUUACACUUCUAGAGCUAGUAGACAUAAUUGAUUUUUAAAAUUUAAUUCCUGCUUAUGAAAAAUAUAGCAUGAUAAUAUCUUCUUGGUUAAGAAUGAAAUUCUCAUUACACACCUACUGAUUUUAGGGUUAAAGGAGUGAUAUUUCUUUCUAAAGGUAGAUUAAACAUUUAACAUAAAAAGGAAGGGGCUGGGCACGGUGGCUCACACCUGUAAUCCCAGCACUUUGGGAGGCUGAGGUGCGC
rnacentral:lncRNA from 1 species